CAGGACGAACGCUGGCGGCGUGCCUAAUACAUGCAAGUCGAACGGCUUUUCUAUGGAAGCUUGCUUCCACUGAGAAGAUAGUGGCGAACGGGUGAGUAACACGUGGGGUAACCUGCCCAUAAGAGGGGGGAUAACAUCCGGAAACGGGUGCUAAUACCGCAUAGUUUUCUUGAUCGCAUGAUCGGGAAAGGAAAGACGGCCUUUGUGCUGUCGCUUUAUGGAUGGACCCGCGGCGUAUUAGUUAGUUGGUGAGGUAACGGCUCACCAAGACGAUGAUACGUAGCCGACCUGAGAGGGUGAUCGGCCACAUUGGGACUGAGACACGGCCCAAACUCCUACGGGAGGCAGCAGUAGGGAAUCUUCCGCAAUGGACGAAAGUCUGACGGAGCAACGCCGCGUGAGUGAAAGAAGGUUUUCGGAUCGUAAAACUCCGUUGUCAGAGAAGAACAAGUUGGAGAGUAACUGCUCCAGCCUUGACGGUAUCUGACCAGAAAGCCACGGCUAACUACGUGCCAGCCGCUGC
rnacentral:rRNA from 1 species